GGUGGCUCAGUGGUAGAGUGCUUGCCUUGCAUGCAUGAGGCCUGGGUUCGAUUCCUCAGUACCA
rnacentral:tRNA from 1 species